UACGUAGGGCGCAAGCGUUAUCCGGAAUUAUUGGGCGUAAAGAGCUCGUAGGCGGUCUGUCGCGUCCGUUGUGAAAACUCGAGGCUCAACCUCGGGCUUGCAGUGGAUACGGGCAGACUAGAGUGCGGUAGGGGAGACUGGAAUUCCUGGUGUAGCGGUGGAAUGCGCAGAUAUCAGGAGGAACACCGGUGGCGAAGGCGGGUCUCUGGGCCG
rnacentral:rRNA from 1 species